GACGAACGCUGGCGGCGUGCUUAACACAUGCAAGUCGAGCGGAGCGGCGAACGGGUGAGUAACUCGUGAGUAACUGCCCCCCUCUCUGGGAUAACAGUUGGAAACGGCUGCUAAUACCGGAUAGUGGGGGAUGACUCGCGUCCUAUCAGCUUGUUGGUGGGGUAGUGGCCUACCAAGGCGACGACGGGUAGCCGGCCUGCGAGGGCGACCGGCCACAUUGGGCUGAGAUACGGGCCAAAGCCCUACGGGAGGCAGCAGAGGGGAGUAUUGCACAAUGGGGGAAGCCCUGAAGCAGCAACGCGCGUGCGGGAUGACGGCCUACGGGUUGGAAACCGCUUACGGCCAUGACGCGGUAGUGGCAGAAGAAGCACCGGCUACCUACGUGCCAGCAGCCGCGGUAAUAC
rnacentral:rRNA from 1 species